rnacentral:rRNA from 1 species
AAAUGAAUAGACGGGGACCCGCACAAGCGGUGGAGCAUGUGGUUUAAUUCGACGAUACACGAAGAACCUUACCUGGACUUGACAUAGUAAGAACUUUCUAGAGAUAGAUUGGUGUCUGCUUGCAGAAACUUAUAUACAGGUGCUGCACGGCUGUCGUCAGCUCGUGUCGUGAGAUGUUGGGUUAAGUCCCGCAACGAGCGCAACCCUCGUGUUUAGUUGCUAACAGUUCGGCUGAGAACUCUAAACAGACUGCCUACGCAAGUAGGAGGAAGGUGAGGACGACGUCAAGUCAUCAUGGCCCUUACGUCCAGGGCUACACACGUGCUACAAUGGGAUAUACAAAGAGCGGCAAUACGGUGACGUGGAGCAAAUCUUAUAAAAUAUCUCCCAGUUCGGAUUGUAGUCUGCAACUCGACUACAUGAAGUUGGAAUCGCUAGUAAUCGUAGAUCAGCUAUGCUACGGUGAAUACGUUCCCGGGUCUUGUACACACCGCCCGU